AUACUCACUUAGGCAGCACAUAUACUGAAGUUGUAAUUAUACAGAAAAGAUUGGCAUGGUCCCUUCAUAAGGAUGACAUGAAAAUUCAUGAAAAUUUUUCAUCUGUG